GACGUAGGGCGCGAGCGUUGUCCGGAUUUAUUGGGCGUAAAGAGCUCGUAGGCGGCUUGUCGCGUCGUUCGUGAAAACCCGGGGCUCAACUCCGGGCUUGCGGGCGAUACGGGCAGGCUAGAGUUCGGUAGGGGAGACUGGAAUUCCUGGUGUAGCGGUGAAAUGCGCAGAUAUCAGGAGGAACACUGGUGGCGAAGGCGGGUCUCUGGGCCGAUACUGACGCUGAGGAGCGAAGCGUGGGGAGCGAACAGG
rnacentral:rRNA from 1 species